rnacentral:rRNA from 1 species
GAACACCCGCGAAGGUGCUUGCACCUUUCAGUGAGUGGCGAACGGGUGAGUAACACGUGGACAACCUGCCUCAAGGCUGGGGAUAACAUUUGGAAACAGAUGCUAAUACCGAAUAAAACUUAGUGUCGCAUGACAAAAAGUUAAAAGGCGCUUCGGCGUCACCUAGAGAUGGAUCCGCGGUGCAUUAGUUAGUUGGUGGGGUAAAGGCCUACCAAGACAAUGAUGCAUAGCCGAGUUGAGAGACUGAUCGGCCACAUUGGGACUGAGACACGGCCCAAACUCCUACGGGAGGCUGCAGUAGGGAAUCUUCCACAAUGGGCGAAAGCCUGAUGGAGCAACGCCGCGUGUGUGAUGAAGGCUUUCGGGUCGUAAAGCACUGUUGUAUGGGAAGAACAGCUAGAAUAGGAAAUGAUUUUAGUUUGACGGUACCAUACCAGAAAGGGACGGCUAAAUACGUGCCAGCAGCCGCGGUAAUACGUAUGUCCCGAGCGUUAUCCGGAUUUAUUGGGCGUAAAGCGAGCGCAGACGGUUUAUUAAGUCUGAUGUGAAAGCCCGGAGCUCAACUCCGGAAUGGCAUUGGAAACUGGUUAACUUGAGUGCAGUACAGGUAAGUGGAACUCCAUGUGUAGCGGUGAAUGACAAUAGAUAAU